CAGUUCCUUGUAUCUGUGUUCUGGGAGGGGAAACAAACCUUUGCAGUGUCCUGAGUUACAGACCCUGAGUUACAGAGUGUCUUCAUUACUCUAAAGACCUCGUUGGAUCGCACUAGAGUUUGUGUGAACUAACAGGUGGCUCGGGGUGCUUAUCACAGAUACCACCAGGGAUUGGAGGCUGUGGUGGUUGAGUAAGAAUGGCUCCCAUAGUCUCAUAUUUUUAAAUGUUUAGUCACCAUGAAGUGGCACUAGAAGGAUUGGAAGGUAUGGCCUUGUUGGAGGAAAUGUAUCACUGGGGGUGGCCUUUGAGGUUUCAGAAGUCCACACCGAGCCCAGACUAGCUCUCUCUCUUGACCAGUGGAUCAGUUUGUAGCUCUCAGAUUCUCUCCAGCACUGUGAGUUCCCCUUCUACGAAGAUAAACUAAAUCUCUGGAGCGCAAUGAGAAAUGCCACCAAUGCACCUGUGUGACAACAUUCUGGCAGGAUUCACUGUAUAUGCCUCUUCAUCAGCUGGUCCUGAGCUGAAUGUGUAUCAAGACGGUCACUGAAGCACUUGCUGCCCAGGCAGUAACGCCACAGGCCCUGGUGUGCGAAGGACCCCGACAGCCGGUACUGCAUCCAGUGGUCCGUUGCUGUGGCUACCACCAACAGGAUGGUCCCCACCCAGGCACAGAAGAGGCCGCCACCCAUGAAGCUGUACAUGGCGAUCUGUGGAGAAGGGAGAGCUGGUUUGUGAGUGGGUAUCCUGGACCUGAGAGAGGAGGGUUGGGGUCUGGCCCCCUGGGUUUGAGAAAAAGGCUGGAGAAUGGACAUAAGGACCUAAAGGAGAAGAGGGGGAGUGGACACUCCUGGAUCUGAGGGAAGAGGGUUGAGAAUCUGGUUCUUCAUUCCUGACAGGAAGAUGUCUAAGAGCCUCAAUUCAAAGCUUUGGAGAGAAGGACCUGGGAGCCUAGACUUCUCAGGUAGGGGACUGCAGGUCUCACGCUGGUGCCUACCUGAGUGGCGGAGUCUGUUCUGAGCCCUCCUUCUGCUGAAGCCCCUCUGUGGAGACUGAGCUGAGCCAGGUUGCUGGCAUCUCUGCCUCAUGGUUCCCCCAAAUCCCUUAAGCCUCCCCACACAAUGGCUGCAAGGCCCAGCAGCUUCCAGCAGGCAGAAACACAGUGGCAGCAGAGACCUCAAUGGAAUUUGCUGAAACAGGGGACAAGGGGGCCCCAUCAGCUUGUCUGUGAUCCUACCCAUCUCCCAGGCUUUACUCCUCGUCCCCACUACGGGUAGCCUGAGCUUUGCAGGAAGCAUAGCCCACACAAAAGAGACAGAGCAGCC